GGACUGAUAGCAUAACGGUCAAUGCCCCUGCUUUUCUUAAACGGAUACCCUGACAUUUCUGCAUGCGAUCCCAGUUCGACUCCGGGUCAGACCA